rnacentral:RNase_P_RNA from 1 species
GAAGUGGGCUGGAUCGUCGCGGCAUGGCUUGCCCAUGUCGAGGAAAGUCCGGGCUCCACAGGGCGGGAUGCCAGGUAACGCCUGGGCGGCGUGAGCCGACGGAAAGUGCAACAGAGAACAGACCGCCGAACGGUGUUUCGACACGCGUGGUAAGGGUGAAACGGUGCGGUAAGAGCGCACCGCGGACCUGGUAACAGGGACGGCACGGCAAACCCCAUCCGGAGCAAGACCAAAUAGGAACGCAUUGGCGCGGCCCGCGUUGCGUUCGGGUAGGUUGCUGGAGCCUUGCGGUGACGCAAGGCCAAGAGGAAUGACGGUUCUCGACAGAACCCGGCUUACAGGCCCACUUCGCCC